rnacentral:rRNA from 1 species
CCUACGGGGGGCAGCAGUGGGGAAUAUUGGGCAAUGGGCGCAAGCCUGACCCAGCAACGCCGCGUGAAGGAAGAAGGCCUUCGGGUUGUAAACUUCUUUUAAGGGGGAAGAGCAGAAGACGGUAUCCCUUGAAUAAGCUACGGCUAACUACGUGCCAGCAGCCGCGGUAAUACGUAGGUGGCAAGCGUUGUCCGGAUUUACUGGGUGUAAAGGGCGUGCAGCCGGAGUGACAAGUCAGAUGUGAAAUCCACGGGCUCAACCCGUGAACUGCAUUUGAAACUGUUUCCCUUGAGUGUCGGAGAGGUAAUCGGAAUUCCUUGUGUAGCGGUGAAAUGCGUAGAUAUAAGGAAGAACACCAGUGGCGAAGGCGGCCUGCUGGACUGCAACUGACGUUGAGGCCCGAAAGCGUGGGGAGCAAACAGGAUUAGAUACCCGAGUAGUC